GCGGGUAUAGAUGAAUUGGUAAAUUCAUUAGUUUUCCAAACUAAAAUCUUACGGGUUCGAAUCCCGUUACCCGCU
rnacentral:tRNA from 1 species